rnacentral:rRNA from 1 species
CGCCAAUCAGCUAGCCCAAGAACUAAUUUCAGCAAACCCACAUUACUAAACCCCAAUCCACUACAUCAUCCCAAAWAAAACAUUCCCCCUCCCCAGUAUAGGUGAUAGAAAAGGAAA